rnacentral:lncRNA from 1 species
CACCUUUUGUUUAUCCAUUCAUCUGUGGGUGGACACUUGCUCCCACCUUUUGGCUGUGGUGAACAAUGCUGCUGCAGACAUGGUGGCUGUGGUGAACGGUGUCGAGACAUGGUGGCUGUGGUGGACGGUGCUGCUGAGACAUGGUGGCUGUGGUGAACGGUGCCGAGACAUGGUGGCUGUGGUGAACAGUGCCAAGACAUGGUGGCUGUGGUGGACGGUGCUGCUGAGACAUGGUGGCUGUGGUGAACGGUGCCGAGACAUGGUGGCUGUGGUGGACGGUGCUGCUGAGACAUGGUGGCUGUGGUGAACGGUGCUGCUGAGACAUGGUGGCUGUGGUGAACGGUGCUGCUGAGACAUGGUGGCUGUGGUGAACGGUGCUGAGACAUGGUGGCUGUGGUGGACGGUGCUGCUGAGACAUGGUGGCUGUGGUGAACAGUGCUGAGACAUGGGGCUGUGGUGAAUGGUGCUGCCGAGACAUGGUGGCUGUGGUGAAUGGUGCUGCUAAUGUGUCUAGAAUUGGUGGAUUCUUGGUCUCACUGACUUCAAGAAUGAAGCCGCAGACCCUCGCAGUGAGUGUUACAGUUCUUAAAGAUGGUGUGUCCGGAGUUUGUUCCUUCUGAUGUUCAGAUGUGUUUGGAGUUUCUUCCUUCUGGUGGGUUCGUGGUCUCACUGGCUUCAGGAGUGAAGCUGCAGACCUUUGCAGU